GUUGUCUUGGUAACAGCUGCACAGCCUCAACAGUACCACGAGUGGGCUGAUUUCUUCAGGAAAAGCUUGACCGAUCCCACAUCCCAUACAGUGUCAGCGGGUGACAAAACAGCAUGAAAGAGUGGAGAAGAUCCCGCUUUGGAGGGCAACUGGUAGGCAACCAUACCUGAGCACAAAAUUCAAUAUCAGGCAAAGGCACCGAGGUUUGUAGCCAACACCAACCAGUCUUUACCUGCCCAGCACCAGAUGCAACAGAUGACACCAGGAUUAAGGCAGGUCAGGAAGAAUCACAGCAGGUUGCUGCUCCUGAAAGAGAAAACUCAGGUCCCUCCAUCCCUGGUACCUACCAGUAUCUUCUGCAGCUGGUCUACAGAAUGGUUGGCGACACUCUUCCCAUUGAUUUCUAGGAUCUCAUCCCCCACAUGAAGGGAGCCUGGCAGAGUAGGAGACAUGAACCUCAUGAAGCAAGGCAGUGCCAACAGCAACAGACAAGAGUCUUAAUAGUAGCUAGAGAGGACAACAGCUACUGAUAAACAGGCACCACACUGGCAACUCCUGGGACUACACAAAGGCUACACUUUUACUAGAUUGUAGUAAAAAUGAAAAUGAUUUUUUUUUUAAGCGCAUCACUAGCAGCAGUUUAAACAUA